rnacentral:lncRNA from 1 species
AUUCCUCCUCUCCCUCCCCAUCCAUCGCCUCUCCGGCCUCCUCCUCGCUCUCGUCUAGCUCUAGCUGCUUUCUUCUCCACCACCUCCGUCCUCUUUCUCCACCCGAUAGCUAAGCUAUACUGCUUGCUGUUCAUCUUCUGCAUGGCCAUGGCUGUCAUGCUCCCUUUCCCUUCCUCCAUAUGCAUGCUCCCAUUCCGCCGUCUACCCAUCACCCCACUCUCUGCAUGGCAUCGAAAAGGAAAUUGAGGAGAAAUGGAAUAGUAGCUAUGAUGUUGGCUCGGCUCACUCAGACGACGUACGCGCGCGAGAUCAUGUGCUAUGCCGCUGCUGUUUCUGAUUGAGCCGUGCCAAUAUCUUAGUACUCUUCCAUGCAUACGUCGUCUAUGUGCCGUGUUCCUUCUUCACUUGCGAUCUCGAUCGAGGUAAAUCUGAGCACGUAGACGAUGGUCCUAGUAUGCGUACGUAGGACAGGAGCACACACGCUCUCACAGUCUUGUUCUUUAAUUCCUGGUGUUUGCACAAAUCCACCGUUGUGGUUUUCUCAGCAUCCGGCGUCGGCUUGAAGAAAUGCAUGCUCAUAAUUCAAAGUGCUGAUGAACUAGCAGGUUAUUUGCAUGUAUAUAUGGAUCUAUCGCAAUUGCAUAUAUAUAUACCUUUCUGUCAUAAACUGCAUGCGCGACCAGCAGGUGAAGAUUAGUUGAUCUCACGAAGAUGGAUCCGGAAGAAAGAUUAUUGUACGUACUCGAUCGUGAAGUAGUCGAUGUCAUAGUGUGUGUGUAGAUGUUCAAGCAUGACAUCGCACACUGUGAUCUACCACUACUGGAGUCGAACACGGCAUCGGAGAUCAGAGCUGUAACUGAUGAAGGGGCAGUGUAUAGUUUACUGCCAAGCCUCCAGGCAUCUGGCCUGAUAAUUCCUUGUCGGCUCCUCCUUUGAAUUUCUGUGUGAGGUUGUGUGUAAUGCAUAUCCAGCAGCCACUCGACAGGCUUCUAACGAUGCUUUAUUCGAUCACAUCUUACGUCUAUGUCGUGCUCUGAAUUCAGACAAGGGAAAUGUUCGCUUGUUAUAUAUACAAAAAAAAAAAAAAAAAA